GGAGCAAACGGGAUUAGAUACCCCGGUAGUCCUAGCCGUAAACGAUGGACACUAGGUGUAGGUGGUAUCGACUCCAUCUGUGCCGCAGUUAACACAAUAAGUGUCCCGCCUGGGGAGUACGGCCGCAAGGUUAAAACUCAAAGGAAUUGACGGGGGCCCGCACAAGCGGUGGAGCAUGUGGUUUAAUUCGACGCAACGCGAAGAACCUUACCUGGGCUUGACAUCCUGUGAACAUUUAAGAGAUUAGGUUUCCGAGCAAUCGGACACAGAGACAGGUGCUGCAUGGCGGUCGUCAGCUCGUGCCGUGAGGUGUUGGGUUAAGUCCCGCAACGAGCGCAACCCUUGUCGUGUGUUGGUCCACAAGAUCUUUCACACGAGACCGCCGGUGACAAGCCGGAGGAAGGUGGGGAUGACGUCAAGUCAGCAUGGCCCUUACGUCCAGGGCUACACACGUGUUACAAUGCGCGCGACAGCGAGUCGCAAACCCGCGAGGGCAAGCUAAUUUUUUAAACGCGCGCUCAGUUCGGAUUGAAGGCUGCA
rnacentral:rRNA from 1 species